CCACUAUCCCAAUGACGGGUUAACCGGGUUAUGACUUGGGUGAACAAUAAGAAAUGGAAAUUUAAAAGGGAUUUACUAAAUAACCAACAUUAAUAACAACAAACUAGUGGUAUAUAUAUAUAUAUAACCACUUGGGUAAUUAAGAAACGAGCCAGCCAUAACGACUAAACCCCAAAUGAAAGUUAAACAAAAUGAAGGAGUAAUAAGUUCCACAAUACGAUAACAAAUUCAGAGUGUUUGCAGCGGAAAAAACGUGUGAGUUAUGCAUAUGGAGAUGCAUACUCAAGGUUUCAUUACAUAAACAUCAAAAGGGAAAUCCGCUCAACACCGAUCCAUUCCAUCGCCUGCUCAACCUGCACAUUUAGAAAUACAUGCAGGGCUGAGUAUAAAAAUACUCAGUGACAUAAGCCGAAAAUACAACAUGCAUACAUAUAUAAAUUGAACUGCCAUAACAGUAACACACAGGGGUUUUCAUAAAUGAUCUGCGCUUACUAAAACAUUUCGUUCAUUUUCAUAAAGGUGGAUGCAUCCCAUUUUCAGUCUAUAUGAUCCAUAUCUGUCCUUUCUGUCACGCGCCGGGAAGGAGGCCUCCUUACCACGGACGCCAAGACCGGUCGCAAGCGACUCGCGGUCUCCAUAAGUGUACACGUUAACCCUAGCUAGCGACCUUUGUCUAGCAUAGGAUCCCAAUUGGAUUUCCUUUAAAGUUGGCGAACCAACACAGAUAGGAUACAUAUAAAAACAUAAAUAUUUUGGCAGUCAAUCAUUUCAUAAACAUUUCAUUUUCAUAACAUUUUCAUUUUCAUAAAGGGCAUUAAACAUAUAAGCAUUUCAUAAGAACUGAAUAAAUAGUCAAAACAUAUCAUGCAUAUAUAUUCGCAUAUGAGGCCUACGUCACGCAGGGGAUCUCUAUAUACGUAAUAAUAAAAUAAUGCCCACAUCAAUUGUUCUUAAAGUUGGCGUGGAGUCGUUUCUUCUUCUGCUUCACUUUCUGUCGCCCGGACCUUCAUUGAUGAAGAGUCGAUAAGUUCGUGAAGAAAUUGUCAUAAGACAAAGUCUAAUUCUACGUGCCUAAGGUAUCUUUUAAUGUUUUAGGGUUCUAGCAUCCAUAUUAAUCUCGUUUCAUUCAAUCAAUAAAAUGUAACCAAUUAUCAUGUAACUAUCAUAUAGGUUCGAACCCAUUUGUUCGAACAUCAACAUGUACAUAAUCCAUAACCUCCUUCUACACCCGUCAUUUAGUCAAGUACUCCAUCAAUUAAGAACAAGCUAUAUAUUAUUACCCUGAAAAUUUAAUCAUUAUAAAUCAUGCUUUCUCAUACUUCGCACAUUUUCAUCACUUAAAUAAAUAAAUCAUUUAUAAACACAUGCUUAGCAAUUUAAUAUCUCAAUUAAAUCCCAAGCUCAUUUGAUAAAGUAAAUCAUAUACUUAAUCAUUCUAUAACACAAUUCCACAUAAAUAGUCUCAAUAUAUUUUUUUUUUUUUUUUUUUUUAAACAUGAAGCCAUUCUAAUAGGACAUUUUAAAUCCCAUUGAGAUGAAAUAAAACAUUUUAACCAUUUAAAACUCAUACUCAUAAAGCCUUGAAAUAUUAUAAUAAAUGAGGGCUUAAUCCCAAAAUAUUUCUUUUAAAGUCCAUCAAUAAAUUUAAAUAAAAGAACGGACUUCAUUUAAAAUAAAUAGUCCCAACUUUCAAUAUUAAAAUUUAAAUCAAGAGAUUUAAAUUCACUAAAUAAUUUAGUGAAGAUUCAAACAUUUUUAAAAGAAAUAAGGCCAAAAUUUCGUAGGCUUUAUUAUUCAAUUAACAGGUCAAAACUUAGUUAAAUUUGAGCCCAAAACAAUUAAAAUAAAUGCCCAACAGAAUUUAUAGCAAAUUGGGCCCAGCAGAAGUAAUUAAAAUCGGCCCAACAACUAUAAAACAAAUUCGGCCCAAUGGAAAGAGAAUGGGCUUGAGCCCCAAUUAAACCUAACCCUAAUACAUACAUAACACACACGCACAACACACACAACACACACCAGCCCCUUUGCUCUCUCUUUCUCUCGGCUCUCUCGCCCCUCUCGCUUCUCUGCUCGGUCGAGUGCGGCGCCGCCUCCGGCGCGCCGCCUCGCCGGACGCUUCCCCCCCUUCUCUCUCUCCCCUGUCUCUUUCGUCCGCCCCUCUCCCUCUGUUAUUUCUCCCUCGCCGGUAAUCGAUGCCUGUGCCGCCUUGACGACCACAGCCGCCGCCUCGCUGUGAAGGAGCUCGGCCGCCGUCCGUCUGGCUGGAAUCGUGGUGGAGGCCGAGCCUUGCCUCGCCGGAAAGGAACAGCCCGUUGCUCCCGCCGUCGUGUCGCCGCUGCCGAUGCCGCCGCGUCGUCGUCACCGGAGGAGAUAAGUCCUCCCCUCCCUCUCUUCUUCCUUUCCCCUUUUUUUUUUAUUUUUACAGAAGCCCUAACCAUCUCUCUCUCUACCCUCUUCUCUCUCGUUUUGGCAGGACAAGGGCUAGCGGCUGUGCCGCCGCCGCCGUCGCCGACCGUGAGCAGCCCCCGGCUGCUCUCACCUCUUUCCCCAUUUUCGGACAUACACAGAAGGCAAAGACACAAGAACCCCCAAAUUUCAGUCACACGCACAAAAGAAAAAUUAGGGUUUUAUUAAUCUGUUCUUUCAAUCAUUCAUUUCCUUUUUAUUAAAACUGAUUGUACAUGUAAUAGAUUAGAGAAUAUAGUAAAAUGUGUGCGUGUGUAUUAUUCUGUUGGUGGUUCUCUGAUGGUGAUAAGCUGAUGUAAUUGAAACAAUAAUAGUCUAAAAGAAGUGGUAAUGGAUGCGUGUGUUCGAUCUGUUUUCAUUUGAA